rnacentral:rRNA from 1 species
UGAGGAAAAUUGCGCAAUGGGGGCAACCCUGACGCAGCGACGUCGCGUGAAUGAUGAAGUCUCUAGGGAUGUAAAGUUCUGUCAAGAGGGAGUAUAAUGACAGUACCUCUAAAGGAAGCUCCGGCUAAUUACGUGCCAGCAGCCGCGGUAAUAA